rnacentral:rRNA from 1 species
GACGAACGCUGGCGGCGUGCCUAACACAUGCAAGUCGAACGAGAACUCCGGGUCUAUGGGCGCACGGGUGCGUGAGCGGGGGGAACCUGCCCAUAUGGUCGGAAUAACUGCCAGAAAGGGAUGAUAAUGGGGGAUAAUGUCUUCGAACCAAGGAUAUAUCGCCGUUGGAUGUGCACUCGUUGGAUUAGCUGGUUGGUAGGGUAAAAGCCUAACAAGGCGAGGAUGCUUAGCUGGUCUGAGAGGAUGAUCAGCCACACUGGGAAUAAGACACGGCCCCGACUCGUACGCGAGGGAGGAGAGGGGAACAUAGGACCAUGGGGGAAGGCAUGAUCCAGCAAGGCGGGGUAAGUGAUGAAGGCCGUAGGGAUGUAAUGUUCUUUUACCCGGGAUGAUAAUGACGGUACCGGGAGAAUAAGCUCCGGCUAACUCCGUG